rnacentral:snRNA from 1 species
GGAAGUGAGGGUGACCUGGCUACUAUAGCAGCUCAUCUGCUACCCUACUGAAUGCCAGAGUUGAUUUGGCUACUCUGGCUGGCCAGGCUGGUGUCAUCCCUAACCUCCUGUUCAUGUAUGUUCAUGUAAUUCCCAAAGUGAAGCUUGGGCUUUCUCAGAGAUUCAUCUUCACCUAUAGAAAAGGACUGUACUAUGCCAAGGGAACAGGCCUAUCAGCACUUGCCUGCUACAUUCUCCAAGCAAUCUGUCAGGGUCCCUUUGUAGAAAACUUUGAGCAGUUAAGUUGCUCCAGACAUAUCCAAGUGAAGCAUUGCUUGGAAAAGUCAGCCUUUCUU